CCCCGGUGUCGACGCUGCACUCGUUCUGGUUUCUGGUCUUCUGCUGGUCGAGGUCGUUGUUGUCUCUGUGUGGGACAGACGGACAAAUACAAUAUAUUUUAUUUCUCUCAGACUGAUCCCCUUUUCGUCGACUUCAUGUUCAGAUGUCGUGCGUCUCACUGUUCUUUUUGUGUCUCCGUCUCUUGGUUGUACUCGUGUCUGUGGUCAGACUUGUUUUAGCUGCAGAGGUUGUGGUUUUACCUUCAGCUAGAAAGA
ensembl:lncRNA